rnacentral:lncRNA from 1 species
GUAUGAUAUAUAGGGUUUAGAAUUAAGAUUUUGGAUUAUAGUAUGAAAAGUAUUAGAUUGAAAUAUUAUGUUUAAGAUUUGUGUUUUAAUUUUAAAAAUUUAGAUUUGAAGUUUAUUUUUAGUGGAUGUAUAGUUUAUGUUUGAAAUUAGAGUUUAGAGUAUAGAGUUUGAUUGAAGAUUUAAUUGUUUUUUUUUUUUUUGAAGUUAUAGUCUAAGAUUGAGAAUAAUAAAUUUUGAGUUUAAAUUUAAGAUUUGAGAUUAUAGUAUGAAAACAUUAGAGUUUAAAAUUUAUGUUUAGAGUUUAGAGUUUAAAAUAGGUGUAGGGUUUAGGGUUUCAACUUAUCCACUUCAUUCCAGGUAUGCGGGUUUGAUUAAAGAUUUAAAAUUUGUAUUUAUAAAAUGAUAGUUUAAGAUUAAGAAGCUUAAAUUUUGAGUUUAAUUUUUAGGAUUUGAAGUUACACUAUGAAAAUAUUAGAGUUUUAAGGGUUCUCUUUAGAGUUUAGGGUUUAAAAUCAUGUUUAGGUUUAGGGUCCAAUUAGUUUUUCUUAGUGUUCGAAAAAUGCUAUUAUAUGUCUUCGAUCGCAUUACUAAAGCCGCUUAAAUAAUGUCUUUGGUGCUUAAGUCAAUUUUCCCAGUAACUAUUGGCGGAAUCAAUGGUUUUAUCCUUCCGCUCACUUAAUUUUUAAAAUAGCAUUAAUUAAGUGUUAUUUUAGGUUUCACUAUAUCAUAGCGUUUUUCUAAAGCUAUUAUAAAAUUCUGAAAUUUUUAACUCAUAUACAAUAGCAGUUUAGUAAAACGUGCUAUAACAAUCUGCUAUCAAUGAUGGUUUUUUUUUUGUAGUGAUUCUUUUUCCUCUUACACUUUAUUUCAUGCAAUUUUUUUAUCUCCUCAUUUCCACAAUUUUUCAAAUUUUUAAAUCUUUUCUUUUACUCAUUCUUCGAUGUCAAACUAUGCAUCACCAAACAAAACAUAUACCGC